AUUCCGAGGGCUAUACGUCGUUCUUGCUCCAGGCGUUUUCGCUGAUCAGAUGCCUCCUUGGCUCGGGCCUCAUUAGACAGACGCUGCUGUUCAAGUGCAAUCUGCUCACGGUGGAUUAAAGUUGGCAGCGGCUGCUGCUUUUGGGCUGCUGCUUCCUGCAAGAGCUGCUGUUGGAGCGGAAGAACGUGAGUUUCCAGCUGCCUUUUGUAUCUCGGCCGUUCCAAUCUCCGGGGGAUGAAUGGAUGCAUAAUAAGCUUUCUUGCUUCCAGAUUUGGAUGAGUAGAGAGUGAUGUUGCCAUCCUGCUGCUAUACGUAUUAAAGAUGUCCUCUGCUGAGUCGAUGUUGUGUGCCUCUCGGAUGUCCUGGCUUCUGAUGUAUCUGCUGGCCAUUGCAAUCUUUCUCACGAGCCGGUUUUGCGUGCCUUCUAUCCUACAGAAUUGAGAGUCACAUACCAAGGCCCCCCACACAGGUAGGGCAUAUUUCCAUAUCGGGGCGAUUAAUUGCUUAUAUACAAUCAUUUUGCAUUCUUUUGACAGACGGCUCUGGCUGCCUAUAAUCCAGUUUAACUUGAUGGCUGCUCCCCUCACUCUAUCAACCAGACAUGAUACAUGUGCAUGUAGAACCAGCUUCCUGUCCAUUAUCAGUCCUAGGUACCGGUGACUGGACUUAUUAACAAUAUGAGUAUCAUACAUUUUUGGUGACAGUUCUCUAAUUCCAUUUUCAAUUGAUUUCCUUGUGUAUAAUACAUGUAUCGUUUUGUCUUUGUUUAGGCUGAUGCCCCAUUUAGAGGCCCAGGAGGUGAAGCUUUGGAGAUAUUUCUCGUUCGUACGGACCGCUGUAGUGGCCAAGCUUCUGGCACACAGGAUGAUGGUGUCGUCUGCGUAUGUAGAUAGCAACAUGUCCUUAUAGUAAUCUGACCUCCAUCUAUCAUUUUGUCCCUCUAGGUGCGGCAGCGGCAUAUCUGACGUGAAAACAGUAUACAACACGGGGCCUAGGACACUCCCCUGUGGGACUCCAGCGCAGAUUUUUCCGGAUCUAGAUCGUAGUCCGUUUUGGCCAUUUACAAUAAAUGAUCUAUUAGUGAGAUAACUUUCUAGAACCUUGUAAUACGCAAAAGGCAGUAGCUUGGCCAGCUUGAGCAGUAGGCCACUAUGCCAAACUCUGUCGAAGGCUUCACUUAUGUCUAUGAAAACAGCAGAACAGUAUAAUUGUUUUUCGUAGGAGUCCAGAAUGUAUUGCGUGACGCGUGCCAAUUGCUGUUCAGUGCUAUGAUGUCUCCUAAACCCAAACUGGUGAGAAGGAAUGGCAUUUUCAAAUUCCCUGCAUUCAAACAUUCGUUUCAUUAGCAGCGUUUCAAAAAGCUUUGAGAAGCCAGCCAAGAGGCUAAUUGGUCGGUAUGAGCCAACAUCAUUUGCGCUUUUGCCUGGUUUCUUGAUCAUUGUAAUUGCAGCACAUUUCCAUUGUUUGGGAAAAUGGCCGUGUCUAAGUAUCGAGUUAUAAAUGUAUGUCAAGUAAAUGACUGCUUUAUGAGGCAGGGCUUUUAUAACUCUAUUAUUUACCCGAUCCAUCCCAGGGGCUUUUUUAUUUUUUAGAGAUCUAAUUUCCAGCAUGACUUCAUUUGGUGAGAUGGGCCUGAAUGGAGGUUUAUUUCCGUCGCUAGUUUCCCCAAAUUGCUGCCUUUGGAGCCAUUCCGGUGUUGCUGUUAAGCGCUUUAGCUGUUCUAGUUCUUUGCGCUCCUCUUCCACCCCGUUCCUGAAUUCCUCAGUGUUGACUAGUUUUGGUGCAAAUCUUU
rnacentral:lncRNA from 1 species